ensembl:lncRNA
CAAUGCUUGAAAAGGGUAAAUAGACACCAGGAGGGCAGGGGCCAACCUCACGGCCCGUGAGGCGCUGAACCGUGCUGAGGCACUUUAAGACCUGCAGUGCCCCACCCCAACUGUUAAUGAGCUCAUUAACAGCCACUGCCCCUCUCUCCCUCAUAUCCAGCUCGGGGCAGUGGGGUUCAGAGUGAGGAGGGACUACUUCGCUGUGAAGAGCUGUGUGGAAGGGAGUCUGCCCAGGAGCCCAGGGAUGAAGGAAAUCUUGGACAUCUUUUGUUGUGCCACCACUUGUUAUCUGCUGCUAGCUGGUGUCGGGGGACUGAAAGACAAGAUAACUGACAUGCAGGAAAACCCACAACCUUCUUUCAAGUCAAUGUCUACAAAGAAACACCCUAUAAUUACCAACAAAAUCUAUCACGUGGUCACAGAGCCAACAUUUCAAAGCAGACUCUAUGCUUCCGUCUGAGACCUGCUUCUGGGCAUGGGUAAGAAAGAUCACUUUGCUGAACUUGUUUAAUUUACUGCUUGGCACCUCUUUCUACCUGUCCUGUAGAGGCCAGGGUGGCAAAUGAGUGGCAGAUGAAAAGCGCUAAAAGACCCUCAAAAGGUGUUUUAGUGCUGGAGUAUGCAGCAGCAUGACAAGACAGAGCCUCUGUAAAAAUAUAUAUUUAUAUUUUUAACGAGGAGUGAGAACUUGUCAGAGGUGUAUGAUUGAAUAUCUAAUGCUUUUCUGUUGCGUAAGAAAGAAAUCAAGUUCAACUUAUAAGGAAGUGCGUGUGAUGAUUUACUUCAAAAAAGAAAAAGACAAAACAAAAAAAACAAGAAAACCUUCUCAGGAUUUUCCUCUUUCACUGCUUCUGUUUGUUUUUCCACAACUGACAGAUUUUAUGGCAGUUUCUCAAUGCAAACACAUCACUCAGGUACAGAAGAGGAGUAGAAAUAUGGCAUGAAUGGAGGAUGACUACUAGGCCAGAUGGUAGGAAACAUAAAGCUACUGUAUAUAAGCGAAGAGUUUGUGUUGUAAAUACAUAACAAAUCAGCAAAGGAAACAGGCCUUUAAAAAUAGACAGUGACAUUGCUUAGAGAAAGCAGACAUUGCUUGAAAAAAAACCAAAGCCAUUUUGUCUGUCUUCAGAAAGGCAAACGUUAAAAAGUGUAACAGAAUUUGGAUUUCCAUAGAUGAGCAGUAGUAUUUGAAACAGAAAUGAGAUCAGGUUAGGAAAAAGAAUCUUAAAAAAAAAAAAAAAAAACCCAAAACAUUCAAAUUGUAGGAUCAAAAAAUCACUGAGGUUGGAACAAACCUCCAAGAUUAUCCAUUCCAACCAUCCACCUAUCACCAAUAUUUCCCUCUAAACCAUGUCCCUCAGUACAUCUAAACAUUUCUAUGCCUGCAUCUGCCUAAAUGUUGUAUUUUGAAGUCUAAAGAAAGAUGGGGGCUCUGUAUUCAGAAAUGUGAGAGAAUCCCAGUAGGAACAUUCCAGAGAAUAUUCUUGUUCCUGACUUUUCUCAUGUGUUCCUUGGGGGACAACAAAUAGAAGCGGGUGCAGAAAGGAUUUGUAGUGGUAGUACAGAUUUUGUAGGUAGAGCACAAAAUACCCACUUUGAUUUACUCAUCAGAUCAUAGAAUCAUAGCAGAAUCAUAGGAUGGCCUGGAUUGAAAAGGUCCAGAAUGAUUAUCUAGUUUCAACCCCCCUGAUCUGUGAUCUCAAAUUAACAUGAAGCGAUAACAGAAAUUUUCUUUGAAGUCAACAUCUCUAUUUCCAGUACAAAGCUUGAAAUUAACCUUUUUUGUCAAAUGCCUACUAACAUUCCUACUAACAAAUAUGACAGUCUGUAAAGGGGCAGAAAGAAGUUGUGUGAUUUAAUGUUGUGAGAGGCUGGGAUUUGAGCAGGAGUUAAAAAAUAAUUGAAGGAUUAAGUAAUCUGGAAAUAUCGGACUGAAACUUCUUUGGGAGUUGUGGGAUAUCAUGGGAUUUAAGAAGUGAUAGUGAAAGAAUCACACGUAAGUGUUUUUGCUGUAUAGAAGGAGUAGCGCCUGUUUUAAAGUUUAAUGUUUGGAAACCCUAAGAUGUCAAAGUACUUAAUUCAAACUUUAGUGCGUUAGUGGAAGGAGGCAAGUUGCAUGUGUACAUGACUUAGCUUGUUGAAGUCCUGCAAAUUAUAUUUGGUGGGAUGCAGUAGACUGUAAAAUUGGAAAAUGGAUAUUGUAACUUCAUUCAAAGAAUGCAAACUUGUAUGAGGAAAUUCAAUGUUUCUGUGGGGUUUGUUUUGAAAAGAUAAUUAAUGGCCUGUACUUAUUUUAUUGGAAGAGGAAGAACUUCUGCAAAGCAUCUUAGAGCAAAUCAAUGAGACAGGCUGCAGUUGUCACGCAGUGUUCACAGCAUUGUCAGAUGAAUAACCAGUUUUAGCUUCUUGGUAAAUCAGCAGAAAGUUAACUCCUUCUUAAUAGCAUGAAUAACAGGCAGAUGUCUAUACAUUUUAAAGUUUAAAAAAGAAAAUGAGAAUUAACUACACUUCAGACAUCCAGGCAGAAUAGAUAGCUAUGCAUCGUAUCUUAAUGAGAGAAUGACCUGAAACAAAGGCUGGAGUGGUGUGGGCCAGCUGCAAGCUCUUAUACUGUUAGAUAUUCUUAAUAACCUCAUCCUGAAAAGUUAGUCUAGGAUAUAAUGACUCCUAAUUUAAGUAUUACCUCUGAAGAUGUGGAUAUUUGUCCUCUGUGGCUCCUUUUCUGAAAUUCACUGUAUUUGAAUUCCUUUCUGUCUUGCGCUGGUUUCAGAAAGAGAGGAGAGGGUUUGUGCAUCCUCAUGCUGGAAGACUGGGGUAGUUCCUGCAUCGUUACUGGAGCACACAGAAACCUUUGCUAGUCUUCUGUGCAUGGAUGUGGGUCAGGCCAACAAAGCAGUAAAAAAAUCAGUGGCACAUCCUUGAGUUGGAAUGGAUGUGAUAGAAUUACAGGACUUACUGCUCAAUAAUGAAUAAAAAAAGAAAAAAAAAAACAAAAGGAGAAAGAACUCCAAGUUGGGUCCUGCCUUGUUAUAUUAAUGCUUUAUUGUGGCACUUGAUAAGAAUUUCAUUUGCUUAAGAUACAGCUGUUGAGUUUGACUGUAUUCCAUAAAAAAUAGAUUAAUAGCUCUGGUUUAAAACAGCUGAAAAAAAUGUUAAUCUUGUCUACUCCUCAUCCCCUUUUCUUGCAGUGUUUCCUCAUGUCAGCUCAGAAUAUUUUUUUGUAAUAUUCAUUUAAAGUAAUUAGACACGAUAUGGCAGUCAGCUGUCACAGGGCUGUCAGCACAGUUUCUGUGUUUUCAAACUUUCUGCUGAUUUCUGAGCUACGUUCCUAGUUUUUCUUAGCCUCGACCACAGCAGUCUGACGGUCGUUAUAAAAUGGCUGUGCUUCCAAAUGACUUUAUUUGGUGACACCUGGUGUGUUCAGUGCAGUUGUGGAAGCUCACAGAAGAACGACCCGAUAAAGGAAAAUAAUCCACUGAAGCAGGCAGGGGAUGUAGAGUUUACUUCUACAAAUGUUUCUCACUGAAUAACAGCAUAUUCUGAGUGACAGCUGGGUGGAAAAUCUAAGUAAAUCAUGCAGAGCUGUACAUUGUGUGACUCUCCACUUUGUAGUCAUACAUUUCCAGUAGCAUUUUCUUCACGUAACUGUUAGGCUGUACCCAAUAGGAACUGAUUUGAUAAUCAGAGGUUGGUGGUCGUGAGCGAUACCUCGUACCAAUUAACUGGAAUAUUUAUCAGUUCAGUCUCUAUGUGAGUUUCUAUUAUAAAUAUUGUUUUUGCUUAUCUGGCACCAAAAAUAAUAGUUGUGUUUUGACAACUGCAUCAAUAACAUAUAAUUUACAUAACACAUACAGAUAGCAUCAAAAAUGUUUGAGGAUUGCUCUUUGUCAAAGGUUCCCUAUUCAUUGAAACAUAUUCUUUUAAACUCGCAGGAAAAACAGAUUGUUUCAGGAACAUCAAAGCUGUUGUAAUCUCUCUGUAUGGGGAUUCACUCUGCUUUGAAGUUUCUACAGCGGAACUCCUCGACUUCGUUAGGGUGCUUUACUAUUUGCAUGUUUAUAGAAAAUAAUAAUACGACUGCCAGUCCUUCUACUUCCACUCUCCCCUUUUUUUAAAUUUCAUCUGAGACAGCAAAUUAAUUGGAGUCACCAAGUGAUUUAAAAGUCGGCGUCAUGGUAACAAUUUGCAAUGUGUAAAAGUUCCCCAAGUGCCCUAUUGCUGAAAAGCUGUGAGGCUUCCCCUCUGCUAGCAUGACAAGGAAAUGCAUGAGAAAACCAGAGCUUCCUGCUCAGGAAGAGAAAUCGGCCGUCCUGCUCAGGAGCACCUCCUUUGCUUUAUCUGCAUUCAAUUUCUGGUCCAGCAAACAGAACCACGUGUGAACAUUCAUAAUCUUACCCACGCAGGCUCUGGGAGGCUAUGCACUCCCACGGUGUCACAGACCCCUCUGUAGUGUACUCAAGUGUUCCCUCUUUAUGGUGUAGAUGGCUUCAGGAACGAGCCUCUGGAACGGCUCCUGG